rnacentral:rRNA from 1 species
GGAUAUUGGACAAUGGAGGAAACUCUGAUCCAGCCAUGCCGCGUGAGUGAAGAAGGCCUUCGGGUUGUAAAACUCUUUCAGUAGUGAAGAUGAUGACGGUAACUACAGAAGAAGCUCCGGCUAACUUCGUGUCAGCCGCCGCGGUAAUACGAAGGGGGCGAGCGUUGUUCGGAAUCACUGGGCUUAAAGCGUACGUAGGCGGACUAGAAAGUCCGAAGUGAAAGCCCAGGGCUCAACCCUGGAACUGCUUUUGAAACUCCUAGUCUAGUGUCCCGGAGAGGUUGGCGGAAUUCCGAGUGUAGAGGUGAAAUUCGCAGAUAUUCGGAGGAACACCAGUGGCGUAGGCGGCCAACUGGACGGGUACAGACGCUGAGGUACGAAAGCGUGGGGAGCAAACAGG